rnacentral:rRNA from 1 species
UACGAAGGGGGCUAGCGUUGCUCGGAAUCACUGGGCGUAAAGCGCACGUAGGCGGAUCUUUAAGUCAGGGGUGAAAUCCUGGAGCUCAACUCCAGAACUGCCUUUGAUACUGGGGAUCUCGAGUCCGGAAGAGGUGAAUGGAACUCCGAGUGUAGAGGUGAAAUUCGUAGAUAUUCGGAAGAACACCAGUGGCGAAGGCGGCUCACUGGUCCGGUACUGACGCUGAGGUGCGAAAGCGUGGGGAGCAAACAGG